UUUCAAUGACUAUUUUUAUAUUCCAUGGCAGUAUGUUUAUUUGCACAAGUUCAAUAAGAAUCUGCUUUCCUUGUAAGAAGACUAAUUAAAAACACUGGUUAUACUACCAAGGCUUUGACUGGAAUGUCAUACCUGAGAGACAUGUGCAUAAACUCAGAUAUGAACAACUUUAAGGAACUAAGGUUGACUUUAUAAAGCCAACAAAGCCCCUUAGAAGAACUGGCCUGGUACCUUGCUUACAGAGUUCCCAGCAGCCUUACCAGAAGCCACAAAACUGCAAAUAGUAAUAGAAAUGAAACCCAGAAUAGAAGCGCCAGCCUUCUGAGGCCCUCUCAACUGACCAGUGAUGGAGACCUAGCUGCACCCUUUACUGCGCCCCCUUCUCAGCACGAAGCAGCCAGAGCGGUCAUCGCCCCUUUUCCCUAGCAGCAGCUAGAGUCUCUAUCUGUAGA